rnacentral:rRNA from 1 species
CAGCUCUCCGAGUGGUAGGGACGAUUAUUGGGCUUAAAGCGUCCGUAGCCGGCUCAGCAAGUCUCCCGUUAAAUCCAGCGACCUAAUCGUUGGGCUGCGGGAGAUACUGUUGGGCUAGGGGGCGGGAGAGGCCGACGGUAUUCCCGGGGUAGGGGUGAAAUCCUAUAAUCCCGGGAGGACCACCAGUGGCGAAGGCUGUCGGCUAGAACGCGCUCGACGGUGAGGGACGAAAGCUGGGGGAGCGAACCGGAUUAGAUACCCGGGUAGUCCCAGCCGUAAACGAUGCGGGCUAGGUGUUGGGGUGGCUACGAGCCACUUCAGUGCCGCAGGGAAGCCAUUAAGCCCGCCGCCUGGGGAGUACGGCCGCAAGGCUGAAACUUAAAGGAAUUGGCGGGGGAGCACCACAAGGCGUGAAGCUUGCGGUUCAAUUGGAGUCAACGCCGGGAACCUUACCGGGGGCGACAGCAGGAUGAAGGCCAGAUUGAAGGUCUUGCUGGACAAGCUGAGAGGAGGUGCAUGGCCGUCGCCAGUUCGUGCCGUGAGGUGUCCUGUUAAGUCAGGCAACGAUCGAGACCCGCGCCCCUAGUUGCCACCGAGGAAGCUUUCCAAGGGGCACUCUAGGGGGACUGCCGCCGAUAAGGCGGAGGAAGGAGCGGGCCACGGCAGGUCAGUAUGCCCCGAAUCCCCCGGGCCACACGCGAGCUGCAAUGGCAGGGACAAUGGGUUCCCACCUCGAAAGAGGGAGGCAAUCCCUAAACCCUGCCUCAGUUGGGAUCGAGGGCUGCAACUCGCCCUCGUGAACAUGGAAUGCCUAGUAACCGCGUGUCAUCAUCGCGCGGUGAAUACGUCCCCACUCCUU